UACGUAGGGUGCAAGCGUUGUCCGGAAUUAUUGGGCGUAAAGAGCUCGUAGGCGGUCUGUCGCGUCGGCUGUGAAAACCCGGAGCUCAACUCCGGGCCUGCAGUCGAUACGGGCAGACUGGAGUUCGGCAGGGGAGACUGGAAUUCCUGGUGUAGCGGUGAAAUGCGCAGAUAUCAGGAGGAACACCGGUGGCGAAAGCGGCUCACUGGACCACAACUGACGCUGAGGCGCGAAAGCUAGGGGAGCAAACAGG
rnacentral:rRNA from 1 species